GAUGAACGCUGGCGGCGUGCCUAAUACAUGCAAGUCGAGCGAACGGACGAGAAGCUUGCUUCUCUGAUGUUAGCGGCGGACGGGUGAGUAACACGUGUAUAACCUACCUAUAAGACUGGGAUAACUUCGGGAAACCGGAGCUAAUACCGGAUAAUAUUUUGCACCGCAUGGUUCAAAAGUGAAAGACGGUCUUGCUGUCACUUAUAGAUGGAUCCGCGCUGCAUUAGCUAGUUGGGAAGGUAACGGCUUACCAAGGCAACGAUGCAUAGCCGACCUGAGAGGGGGAUCGCCCACACUGGAACUGAGACACGGUCCAGACUCCUACGGGAGGCAGCAGUAGGGAAUCGUCCGCAAUGGGGGAAAGCCUGACGGAGCAACGCCGCGUGAGUGAUGAAGGUCUUCGGAUCGUAAAACUCUGUUAUUAGGGAAGAACAGAUGUGUAAGUAACUGUGCACAUCUUGACGGUACCUAGUCAGAAAGCCACGGCUAACUACGUG
rnacentral:rRNA from 1 species